rnacentral:rRNA from 1 species
GUGGGGAAUAUUGCACAAUGGGCGAAAGCCUGAUGCAGCAACGCCGCGUGAAGGAAGAAGGGUUUCGGCUCGUAAACUUCUAUCAACAGGGACGAAAAAAAUGACGGUACCUGAAUAAGAAGCCCCGGCUAACUACGUGCCAGCAGCCGCGGUAAUACGUAGGGGGCAAGCGUUAUCCGGAAUUACUGGGUGUAAAGGGAGAGUAGGCGGCAUGGUAAGUUAGAUGUGAAAGCCCGAGGCUUAACCUCGGGAUUGCAUUUAAAACUAUCAAGCUAGAGUACAGGAGAGGUAAGUGGAAUUCCUAGUGUAGCGGUGAAAUGCGUAGAUAUUAGGAAGAACACCAGUGGCGAAGGCGACUUACUGGACUGAAACUGACGCUGAGGCUCGAAAGCGUGGGGAGCGAACAGGAUUAGAAACCCGAGUAGUCC